rnacentral:rRNA from 1 species
UACGUAGGCGGCAAGCGUUGUUCGGAAUUACUGGGCGUAAAGAGUGUGUAGGCGGUGCUCUAAGUUCGGUGUGAAAUCUCCCGGCUUAACUGGGAGGGUGCGCCGGAAACUGGAGUGCUCGAGCGCGGGAGAGGAAAGCGGAAUUCCUGGUGUAGCGGUGAAAUGCGUAGAUAUCAGGAGGAACACCUGUGGUGUAGACGGCUUUCUGGACCGUAGCUGACGCUGAGACACGAAAGCGUGGGUAGCAAACAGG